UUUGUAUUACGUGCGUAAAUUGUUACCAUUUUUGAGCCGAAAAUGGUAACACUUUCCGCACGUAUUUGCAU
rnacentral:miRNA from 1 species